rnacentral:rRNA from 1 species
GACGAACGCUGGCGGCGUGCUUAACACAUGCAAGUCGAACGGAAAGGCCCUGCUUUGGUGGGGUGCUCGAGUUGCGAACGGGUGAGUAACACGUGAGUAACCUGCCCUUGACUGUGGGAUAACUUCAGGAAACUGGGUCUAAUACCGGAUAGGAGCUCCUGCUGCAUGGUGGGGGUUGGAAAGUUUCGGCGGUUGGGGAUGGACUCGCGGCUUAUCAGCUUGUUGGUGGGGUAGUGGCUUACCAAGGCUUUGACGGGUAGCCGGCCUGAGAGGGUGACCGGACAAAUUGGGACUGAGAUGCGGCCCAGACUCGUACGGGAGGCAGCAGUGGGGAAUAGUGCACAAUGGGCGGAAGCAUGAUGCAGCAACGCCGCGUGCGGGAUGACGGCAUUCGGGUUGUAAACCGCUUUCGCCUGUGACGAAGCGUGAGUGACGGUAAUGGGUAAAGAAGCACCGGCUAACUACGUG